rnacentral:rRNA from 1 species
UACGAAGGGGGCUAGCGUUGCUCGGAAUCACUGGGCGUAAAGCGCACGUAGGCGGCUUCUUAAGUCAGGGGUGAAAUCCUGGAGCUCAACUCCAGAACUGCCUUUGAUACUGAAGAUCUUGAGUUCGGGAGAGGUGAGUGGAACUGCGAGUGUAGAGGUGAAAUUCGUAGAUAUUCGCAAGAACACCAGUGGCGAAGGCGGCUCACUGGCCCGAUACUGACGCUGAGGCACGAAAGCGUGGGGAGCAAACAGGG